GACGAACGCUGGCGGCGUGCUUAACACAUGCAAGUCGAACGGAAAGGCUCCAGCUUGCUGGAGUACUCGAGUGGCGAACGGGUGAGUAACACGUGGGUGAUCUGCCCUGCACUUCGGGAUAAGCCUGGGAAACUGGGUCUAAUACCGGACAGGACCGCACUUUGGUGUGUGUGGUGGAAAGGUUUUUCUGGUGUGGGGUGAGCUCGCGGCCUAUCAGUUUGUUGGUGGGGUAAUGGCCUACCAAGACGGCGACGGGUAGCCGGCCUGAGAGGGUGGACGGGCGCCUUGGGACUGAGGGGCGGCCCAGACUCCUACGGGUGGCAGCAGGGGGGAAGAUUGCACAAUGGGGGACACCCUGAUGCAGCGACGCCGCGGGGGGGAUGAAGGCCUUCGGGUUGAAGACUCCUUUCGCUAGGGACGAAGCUUUUUGUGACGGUACCUGGAGAAGAAGCACCGGCUAACUACGUG
rnacentral:rRNA from 1 species